UACAGAGGGUGCGAGCGUUAAUCGGAAUUACUGGGCGUAAAGCGUGCGUAGACGGUUAUUUAAGUCGGGUGUGAAAGCCCCGGGCUCAACCUGGGAAUUGCAUUCGAGACUGAAUAGCUAGGGUACGGUAGAGGGAAGCGGAAUUUCCGGUGUAGCGGUGAAAUGCGUAGAUAUCUGGAGGAAUACCGGUGGCGAAGGCGGCAUCCUGGACCGGCAUUGACGCUGAUGAGCGAAAGCCAGGGGAGCAAACGGG
rnacentral:rRNA from 1 species